rnacentral:rRNA from 1 species
CCUACGGGGCGCAGCAGGCGCGAAAUCUUCACAAUGUGCGAAAGCACGAUGAGGGAAUCCCAAGUGCUGGCACGUAAGUGUCAGCUGUUUCUUAGUCUAAAAAGCUUAGAGAGUAAGGGCUGGGUAAGACGGGUGCCAGCAGCCGCGGUAA